rnacentral:misc_RNA from 1 species
GAUGAAGAACGUAGCGAAAUGCGCUAAGUAGUGUGAAUUGCAGAAUUCAGUGAAUCAUCGAAUCUUUGAACGCACAUUGCGCCCCUUGGUAUCCCGAGGGGCAUGCCUGUUCGAGCGUCAUUUCACCACUCAAGCCUGGCUUGGUGUUGGGCGACGUCCCCUUUAGGGACGCGCCUCGAAACGCUCGGCGGCGUGGCACCGGCUUUAAGCGUAGCAGAAUCUUUCGCUUUGGAAGUCGGGGCCCCGCCUGCCGGAAUACCUACUCGUAAGGUUGACCUCGGAUCAGGUAGGGAUACCCGCUGAACUUAAGCAUAUCAAUAAGCGGAGGA